rnacentral:rRNA from 1 species
UACGGGGGGGACAAGCGUUGUUCGGAUUCACUGGGCGUAAAGGGCGCGUAGGCGGGCUUUCAAGUCGGGUGUGAAACCUGCCGGCUUAACCGGCAGCCUGCAUCCGAUACUGUAGGUCUUGAGUACGGAAGAGGAGAGCGGAAUUCCAGGUGUAGCGGUGAAAUGCGUAGAUAUCUGGAAGAACACCAGUAGCGAAGGCGGCUCUCUGGUCCGAUACUGACGCUCAAGCGCGAAGGCUAGGGGAGCAAACAGGAUUAGAAACCCCAGUAGUCC